UGGGGAAUUUUGGACAAUGGGCGCAAGCCUGAUCCAGCAAUGCCGCGUGCAGGAUGAAGGCCUUCAGGUUGUAAACUGCUUUUGUACGGAACGAAAAGCUUCUGGUUAAUACCUGGGAGUCAUGACGGUACCGUAAGAAUAAGCACCGGCUAACUACGUGCCAGCAGCCGCGGUAAUACGUAGGGUGCAAGCGUUAAUCGGAAUUACUGGGCGUAAAGCGUGCGCAGGCGGUGAUGUAAGACAGGUGUGAAAUCCCCGGGCUUAACCUGGGAAUUGCAUUUGUGACUGCAUCGCUGGAGUGCGGCAGAGGGGGAUGGAAUUCCGCGUGUAGCAGUGAAAUGCGUAGAUAUGCGGAGGAACACCGAUGGCGAAGGCAAUCCCCUGGGCCUGCACUGACGCUCAUGCACGAAAGCGUGGGGAGCAAACA
rnacentral:rRNA from 1 species